rnacentral:lncRNA from 1 species
AAUUAAAUGGCAUCUUAUAGGAGUUGUUGCCCCUGAAAUGUCUUGAUAUGAGGUUAUUUGAUUAUAUCUUCAAGUAAGUUCAUUACAAAGACAUUUGACCUUAUACAAAAGGUUAAGUGACAAAUUACCUUGAAAAAUGGUUACCGGAAGUGACCUUGAGAAAACCGGAAGUAGCUUUUUUUGCAGUUUUUUCACAUACAAGUACUCAGAAUCCAUAUAUUUUGUCAUAUAGAUACAUAAACUGAUUAAUAAAGAAUAAAAAUGACUUCCAACAAACCGGAAGUAACCAAUUAUCUCCCAUUCUACAUGCAAAAGUACAUAGAAACUAUAUAUUUUUGGAAUCAGUGUGAAAGAAGCUAUCAUAUGAGACCGGAAGUAGCAUAUUAUCUCCCUUACAUCACUCAAAAAGAUAAUUAAACCAUUAUUUAUAUCAUCAGUAUGAAGAAACUACCUUCUGAUCUAAAUUUCUUUGUUGUGGAAAGACUUUCAAUUGUUCUCUGAACAAUUGGUUUUUAAUUAAGUCUUUCCACUUUUCUGUGGAAAGACUUAUUGUUUUUUUUCU